GCCAGACUCCUACGGGAGGCAGCAGUAAGGGAUAUUGGUCAAUGGGGGAAACCCUGAACCAGCAACGCCGCGUGAGGGAAGACGGUUUUCGGAUUGUAAACCUCUGUCCUCUGUGAAGAUGAUGACGGUAGCAGAGGAGGAAGCUCCGGCUAACUACGUGCCAGCAGCCGCGGUAAUACGUAGGGAGCGAGCGUUGUCCGGAUUUACUGGGUGUAAAGGGAGCGCAGGCGGCGCGUUAAGCCUGGUGUGAAAGCCCGCGGCCCAACCGCGGGACUGCAUUGGGAACUGGCGCGCUGGAGUGCCGGAGGGGUAGGCGGAAUUCCUAGUGUAGCGGUGAAAUGCGUAGAUAUUAGGAGGAACACCAGUGGCGAAGGCGGCCUACUGGACGGUGACUGACGCUGAGGCUCGAAAGCGUGGGGAGCAAACAGGAUUAGAUACCCUUGUAC
rnacentral:rRNA from 1 species